rnacentral:rRNA from 1 species
UCGGGAAUUUUGGGCAAUGGGCGAAAGCCUGACCCAGCAACGCCGCGUGAAGGAUGAAGUAUUUCGGUAUGUAAACUUCGAAAGAAUAGGAAGAAUAAAUGACGGUACUAUUUAUAAGGUCCGGCUAACUACGUGCCAGCAGCCGCGGUAAUACGUAGGGACCAAGCGUUGUUCGGAUUUACUGGGCGUAAAGGGCGCGUAGGCGGCGUGGUAAGUCACUUGUGAAAUCUCCGAGCUUAACUCGGAACGGUCAAGUGAUACUGCUGUGCUAGAGUACAGAAGGGGCAAUCGGAAUUCUUGGUGUAGCGGUGAAAUGCGUAGAUAUCAAGAGGAACACCUGAGGUGAGGACGGGUUGCUGGGCUGAUACUGACGCUGAGGCGCGAAAGCUAGGGUAGCAAACGGGAUUAGAUACCCCCGUAGUCCCUGAGCGGGCUGGCAAGGCGCAU